rnacentral:rRNA from 1 species
UACGUAGGUCCCGAGCGUUGUCCGGAUUUAUUGGGCGUAAAGCGAGCGCAGGUGGUUUAUUAAGUCUGGUGUAAAAGGCAGUGGCUCAACCAUUGUAUGCAUUAGAAACUGGUAGACUUGAGUGCAGGAGAGGAGAGUGGAAUUCCAUGUGUAGCGGUGAAAUGCGUAGAUAUAUGGAGGAACACCGGUGGCGAAAGCGGCUCUCUGGCCUGUAACUGACACUGAGGCUCGAAAGCGUGGGGAGCAAGCAGG